UGUGACUUUAUUGUUUAACGGCCGCGGUAUUUUGACCGUGCAAAGGUAGCGCAAUCACUUGUCUUUUAAAUGAAGACCCGUAUGAAUGGCACCACGAGGGCUUAGCUGUCUCCUUUUUCAAGUCAAUGAAAUUGAUCUCCCCGUGCAGAAGCGGGGAUAUAAACAUAAGACGAGAAGACCCUAUGGAGCUUAAGACUCAGUGUAGACUAUAAGAUAAUGCUUUAACUAAAUAAAGAAACAGCACAAAGACCACUACACAACUGUCUUUGGUUGGGGUGACCACGGGGAAAAACCAAACCCCCAUGAGGACUGGGAGUCUAUACUCCUAAAACCAAGAGCCACAGCUCCAAGUAUCAAAAAAUUUUGACCUAAAAUGAUCCGGGCAACCGAUCAACGAACCGAGUUACCCUAGGGAUAACAGCGCAAUCCCCUUCCAGAGCCCAUAUCGACAAGGGGGUUUACGACCUCGAUGUUGGAUCAGGACAUCCUAAUGGUGCAGCCGCUAUUAAGGGUUCGUUUGUUCAACGAUUAAAGUCCUACGUGAUCU
rnacentral:rRNA from 1 species